GUGGCGAACGGGUGAGUAAUACAUAAGUAACCUGGCAUCUACAGGGGGAUAACUGAUGGAAACGUCAGCUAAGACCGCAUAUGUGUAGAGAUCGCAUGAACUCUAUAUGAAAAGUGCUACGGGACUGGUAGAUGAUGGACUUAUGGCGCAUUAGCUGGUUGGUAGGGUAACGGCCUACCAAGGCGACGAUGCGUAGCCGACCUGAGAGGGUGACCGGCCACACUGGGGACUGAGACACGGCCCAGACUCCUACGGGAGGCAGCAGUAGGGAAUUUUCGGCAAUGGGGGAAACCCUGACCGAGCAACGCCGCGUGAAGGAAGAAGUAAUUCGUUAUGUAAACUUCUGUCAUAGAGGAAGAACGGUGGAUAUAGGGAAUGAUAUCCAAGUGACGGUACUCUAUAAGAAAGCCACGGCUAACUACGUGCCAGCAGCCGCGGUAAUACGUAGGUGGCGAGCGUUAUCCGGAAUUAUUGGGCGUAAAGAGGGAGCAGGCGGCACUAAGGGUCUGUGGUGAAAGAUCG
rnacentral:rRNA from 1 species